rnacentral:misc_RNA from 1 species
AAGUCGUAACAAGGUUUCCGUUGGUGAACCAGCGGAAGGAUCAUUACCAUAAUCCAUAUGAUUAUCAAUCAACAUUGUGAACUUGUAAAUUGUCUUUCGGGAUAAUUGUAUAUUAUUCCAAAUGUAUGUGUUUAUGGGUUGGAAACACACAUCUUCGAUGUGUGCCAACAACCACAUCAUAAACCUCCAUACAUUUUAUAUACAUGUUCCCAGUGUAUUUUCGCAAGAAAAUACACUUAUAUAUUAAAAACCAUAAAAUAAAACAUAUAUACAGAAUUAAAAAGCAAUACAGAAAUGUAUUGUGAAUAAAUUAAUAUAUGACAACUUUUAACGGCGGAUCUCUUGGCUCGU